rnacentral:misc_RNA from 1 species
UCUCCGUAGGUGAACCUGCGGAGGGAUCAUUACCGAGUGAGGGCUCACGCCCGACCUCCAACCCUUUGUGAACACAUCUUGUUGCUUCGGGGGCGACCCUGCCGUUUCGACGGCGAGCGCCCCCGGAGGCCUUCAAACACUGCAUCUUUGCGUCGGAGUUUAACACAAAUGAAACAAAACUUUCAACAACGGAUCUCUUGGUUCUGGCAUCGAUGAAGAACGCAGC